CGUUUAACGUCUCUCUCUCCCUUUCUCGAUCCUCCAUCUUUUCUCUGCUAUUGCUUUUAUUUCCAACUCCUUCACUUCCUCCAUUUUUGCAAUCUCUCUCACUCUCUCUCUCUCUCUCUCUCUCUCUCUCUCUCUCUCUCUCCAUCCAAUCUCUUUUUCAUUUUCAAUUUGAAUUCCACCGGUUCACAAAUCAAUUGAAUCAUCGAAUCCGAUAAGCACAGGCAAGCGGCUCAGUAUCAAGCCUCUGGAGCUCAGUUUCUCCCGUCAAAUAAAGGUGAAGACUCUGGCAGUCGGAAGCUGGAGCUGCUGGGCUUGGAGGGCAAAUGACAAACAAGGAGGUCAAGAGCUUGAACAAACGGUUGUUGCUGGGAUAGAACAAAGCCACGAACAACGCUACUGGUAAAGGCAUAUAACAAGGAGAAGAUGGUGGUAUUGAAAACACCCGAGGCGGUGAAAAUACCGAAGCUUUACGAACAAAUCUACAAAACCAUUGUUUUAUCUGUCAAGAGUCGAGACCUUACUUGCAAAUCUACAAAGACUCAAAAACUAGAAAUGAAACUGAGAUAAUUUCCAAUGGAAAUGGCUCCUGCAUUAUUGGAAAAUGGGUUCUAAGUGGUAAGCAAAACUAAGAGUGGACAUUAAUCAGCAAAAGAAUUUGAACCACCUAAUUACAAAUAAGUAAUAAAUUAAUAAAAUAAUAUUAAAAAAGAAAAAAAAUAUAUAUAUAUGUAUAUGUGUGUGUGUAAUAAAAGUAAUUGGGGAAGCAAUUGCUCCCAUUUUCUUUAAGCGUGCAAAAUGGGUUAAGGAGGUGGCCAUUCUCCUUCACCCACGUUGAGUUUUACCUCCCUUUUAGGAGGAAGGGGGACGACAAGAAGAAGACAAGAAAAGAAAAGCAAAACUUGAAGAGAGAACGAACGGCCAAAAGAAAAAAAGAAAGAGAGAAAGAACUGGCUGUUAGGAUAUAAUAGUGCCAAGUGUUACAUGUAUAGCUUACCAUGUGUCUAUGUAUCAUUGGUUAAGUCUUGAGUUUGUUAUAGUUGUGUAUUUAUAAGACAAGUCAAUGUAUUGUAUUGUAUUGGAUUGAAUAAUGUGGUAAUAAUAAUU